AUUGAACGCUGGCGGCAGGCCUAACACAUGCAAGUCGAGCGAGUGGCGGACGGGUGAGUAAUGUCUGGGGAACUGCCCGAUGGAGGGGGAUAACUACUGGAAACGGUAGCUAAUACCGCAUACCAUCAGAUGUUCCCAGAUGGGAUUAGCUAGUUGGUGGGGUAACGGCUCACCUAGGCGACGAUCCCUAGCUGGUCUGAGAGGAUGACCGGCCACACUGGAACUGAGACACGGUCCAGACUCCUACGGGAGGCAGCAGUGGGGAAUAUUGCACAAUGGGCGCAAGCCUGAUGCAGCCAUGCCGCGUGUAUGAAGAAGGCCUUAGGGUUGUAAAGUACUUUCAGCGGGGAGGCGUUACCCGCAGAAGAAGCACCGGCUAACUCCGUGCCAGCAGCCGCGGUAAUAC
rnacentral:rRNA from 1 species